AAACUUCUUUUACCAGGGACGAAGGACGUGACGGUACCUGGAGAAAAAGCAACGGCUAACUACGUGCCAGCAGCCGCGGUAAUACGUAGGUUGCAAGCGUUGUCCGGAUUUACUGGGUGUAAAGGGCGUGUAGGCGGAGAUGCAAGUUGGGAGUGAAAUCCAUGGGCUCAACCCAUGAACUGCUCUCAAAACUGUAUCCCUUGAGUAUCGGAGAGGCAAGCGGAAUUCCUAGUGUAGCGGUGAAAUGCGUAGAUAUUAGGAGGAACACCAGUGGCGAAGGCGGCUUGCUGGACGACAACUGACGCUGAGGCGCGAAAGCGUGGGGAGCAAACAGGAUUAGAUACCCUGGUAGUCCACGCUGUAAACGAUGAAAAAAGGGUGUGGGAGGACUGACCCCUUCCGUGCCGCAGUUAACACAAUAAGUAUUCCUCCUGGGGAGUGCGACCGCAAGGGUGGGACUCAAAGGAAUUGACGGGGGGCCGCACAAGCAGCGGAUUAUGUGGUUUAAUUUGACGCAACGCGAGGAGCCUUACCAGGAUUUGACAUCCAACUAACGAAGUGGAGAGACAUCAGGUGCCCUUCGGGGGAAGUUGAGACAGGUGGUGCAUGGUUGUCGUCAGCUCGUGUCGUGAGAUGUUGGGUUAAGUCCCGCAACGAGCGCAACCCCUAUUGUUAGUUGCUACGAAAGAGCACUCUAGCGAGACUGCCGUUGACAAAACGGAGGAGGGCGGGGGGGGCGUCAAAUCAUCAUGCCCCCUAUGUCCUGGGGUGCACACGUAAUACAAUGGCGGUCAACAGAGGGAAGCAAAGCCGGGGGGGUGGGGCAAAUCCCUAAAAGCCGUCUCAGUUCGGAUUGCAGGCUGCAACUCGCCUGCAUGAAGCGGGGGGGGGGGG
rnacentral:rRNA from 1 species